rnacentral:rRNA from 1 species
AGAGUUUGAUCCUGGCUCAGGAUGAACGCUAGCGGGAGGCCUAACACAUGCAAGCCGAGCGGUAUUUCUUCUUCGGAAGAGAGAGAGCGGCGUACGGGUGCGGAACACGUGUGCAACCUGCCUUUAUCUGGGGGAUAGCCUUUCGAAAGGAAGAUUAAUACCCCAUAAUAUAUUUGAUGGCAUCAUUAGAUAUUGAAAACUCCGGUGGAUAGAGAUGGGCACGCGCAAGAUUAGAUAGUUGGUGGGGUAACGGCCCACCAAGUCGAUGAUCUUUAGGGGGCCUGAGAGGGUGAUCCCCCACACUGGUACUGAGACACGGACCAGACUCCUACGGGAGGCAGCAGUGAGGAAUAUUGGACAAUGGGUGAGAGCCUGAUCCAGCCAUCCCGCGUGAAGGAAUAAGGUCCUAUGGAUUGUAAACUUCUUUUCUACAGGGAUAAACCUAUUUACGUGUAAAUAGCUGAAGGUACUGUAGGAAUAAGCACCGGCUAACUCCGUG